CACGAAGUUAGCCGGGGCUUCUUCUGUGGGUACCGUCAUUAUCGUCCCCACUGAAAGAGCUUUACAACCCUAGGGCCUUCAUCACUCACGCGGCAUGGCUGGAUCAGGCUUGCGCCCAUUGUCCAAUAUUCCCCACUGCUGCCUCCCGUAGGAGUUUGGGCCGUGUCUCAGUCCCAAUGUGGCUGAUCAUCCUCUUAGACCAGCUACCGAUCGUCGCCUUGGUAGGCCUUUACCCCACCAACUAGCUAAUCGGACGCGGGCUCAUCCUGAACCGAUAAAUCUUUGCCCCUCAGGGCACAUGCGGUAUUAAUUCCAGUUUCCCGGAGCUAUUCCGCAGUUCAGGGUAGAUUCCCACGCGUUACUCACCCGUCUGCCGCUCCCCUUGCGGGCGCUCGACUUGCAUGUGUUAAGCCUGCCGCCAGCGUUCGUUCUGAGCCAGGAUCAAACUCU
rnacentral:rRNA from 1 species